AUUGAUUUUAUGCUUGCAUAAAUGAUUUUUGGAUUCGGAGCGAGUGGCGAACUGGUGAGUAACACGUGGGUAACCUGCCCUGAAGCGGGGGAUAACAUUUGGAAACAAGUGCUAAUACCGCAUAAUUAGUUGGAACCGCAUGGUUCCAACUUGAAAGAUGGCUCUGCUAUCACUUUGGGAUGGACCCGCGCCGUAUUAGUUAGUUGGUGAGAUAAAAGCCCACCAAGACGAUGAUACGUAGCCGACCUGAGAGGGUAAUCGGCCACAUUGGGACUGAGACACGGCCCAGACUCCUACGGGAGGCAGCAGUAGGGAAUCUUCCACAAUGGACGAGAGUCUGAUGGAGCAACGCCGCGUGAGUGAUGAAGGUUUUCGGAUCAUAAAACUCUGUUGUUAAAGAAGAACAAGUGUUAGAGUAACUGUUAACACUUUGACGGUAUUUAACCAGAAAGCCACGGCUAACUACGUGCCAGCAGCCGCGGUAAUACGUAGGUGGCAAGCGUUGUCCGGAUUUAUUGGGCGUAAAGCGAGCGCAGGCGGUUUUGUAAGUCUGCUGUGAAAGCCCUCAGCUCAACUGAGGAAGUGCAGUGGAAACUACAAAACUUGAGUACAGAAGAGGAAAGUGGAACUCCAUGUGUAGCGGUGAAAUGCGUAGAUAUAUGGAAGAACACCAGUGGCGAAGGCGGCUUUCUGGUCUGUUACUGACGCUGAGGCUCGAAAGCAUGGGUAGCGAACAGGAUUAGAUACCCUGGUAGUCCAUGCCGUAAACGAUGAAUACUAGGUGUUGGAGGGUUUCCGCCCUUCAGUGCCGCAGCUAACGCAUUAAGUAUUCCGCCUGGGGAGUACGACCGCAAGGUUGAAACUCAAAGGAAUUGACGGGGGCCCGCACAAGUGGUGGAGCAUGUGGUUUAAUUCGAUGCUACGCGAAGAACCUUACCAGCUCUUGACAUCUUCUGCCAACCCAAGAGAUUGGGCGUUCCCUUCGGGGACAGAAUGACAGGUGGUGCAUGGUUGUCGUCAGCUCGUGUCGUGAGAUGUUGGGUUAAGUCCCGCAACGAGCGCAACCCUUAUUAUUAGUUGCCAGCAUUUAGUUGGGCACUCUAGUGAGACUGCCGGUGAUAAA
rnacentral:rRNA from 1 species